rnacentral:tRNA from 1 species
GGGGCUAUAGCUCAGUUGGGAGAGCGCUGCAAUCGCACUGCAGAGGUCGGCGGUUCGAAUCCGCCUAGCUCCACCA